GUUGUAGGCCCCUAUGGAACACCCUAACCAAUCCCUGAUGCAAUAAAACUUUUUACAAAAGAACCCUUACUACCUACCACAUCCACCACAACUCUAUAUGUAACUGCCCCAAACUUAGCCCUCUCCAUUGCCCUCCUUCUAUGAGCCCCCCUCCCUAUACCAUACCCCCUAAUUAAUUUCAAUCUAGGCCUCUUAUUUGUACUAGCAACAUCAAGUCUAGCUGUUUACUCAAUCCAAUGGUCCGGAUGAGCAUCCAACUCAAACUAUGCAUUAAUCAGCGCACUACGACCUGUAGCUCAAACAAUCUCAUAUGAAGUCACCCUAGCCAUUGUUCUACUAUCAACCCUACUAAUAAGUGGCUCACUUAAUUUACACUCACUAAUUAUAACACAAGAACACUCCUGACUCCUACUACCAGCAUGAUCCCCAGCCAUGAUAUGAUUUAUUUCCACAUUUGCAGAAACUAACCGAGCCCCCUUCAACUUAACAGAAGGCGAAUCAGAACUAGUUUCAGGUUUUAAUAUUGAGUAUGCUGCAGGCUCAUUUGCUCUAUUCUUCAUAGCAGAGUAUAUAAAUAUUAUCAUAAUAAAUGCCCUAACCACUACUAUCUUUAUAGCAGCACCUUACAACAUAACUAUAUCAGAACUCUACACAAUAAAUUUUAUAA